AGUGAACGCUGGCGGCAGGCCUAACACAUGCAAGUCGAACGGCAGCACAGCAGUAGCAAUACUGUGGGUGGCGAGUGGCGGACGGGUGAGGAAUACAUGGGAAUCUACCCUGUCGUGGGGGAUAACGUAGGGAAACUUACGCUAAUACCGCAUACGACCGAGAGGUGAAAGCGGCGGACCGCAAGGCGUCGCGCGACUGGAUGAGCCCAUGUCGGAUUAGCUAGUGGCGGGGUAAAGGCCCACCAAGGCGACGAUCCGUAGCUGGUCUGAGAGGAUGAUCAGCCACACUGGAACUGAGACACGGUCCAGACUCCUACGGGAGGCAGCAGUGGGGAAUAUUGGACAAUGGGCGCAAGCCUGAUCCAGCCAUGCCGCGUGGAUGAUGAAGGCCCUAGGGUUGUAAA
rnacentral:rRNA from 1 species